rnacentral:tRNA from 1 species
UCCGGCGUGGCGCAACGGUAGCGCGGCCGCCUGUUAAGCGGAUGGUUUGCUGGUUCGAAUCCAGCCGCCGGAGCCA